rnacentral:rRNA from 1 species
GCAGAAAAUUAUAUUUUCUUUGUAUAAAAUUAAGAUUAAAAAUAAUUUUUCUGUUUUAGUAAUUAUUAUAGAAAUAAUUAAUUAUAAUAAAUUGUAAAAGAUAAGACAUUAUGUUUAUUAAAGUAAAAUUAAUUUUGUACCUUUUGUAUCAGGGUAAAUUAAAUAUAUAUUAUAAAUAUAAUUUUCCCAAAAUGAAGUGACUUAAAAUAUAUUGUUAGUUAUUGUUAUAUAAAUAUUAAUAAACGUGUUUUAGUGAUGAGAUUUUUUCGAACUUCUUGAUAUUUGGUUUCUUAACAAAUAAAUUUAAUUUAGGAAAAAUGAAUAUAAAUAAAUAUAUAUAUAUAUAUAUAUUAAUUAAUAAUUUAUUGAAUUUUUCUAAUUAUGAUAAGGAUAAGCUUAUCAAUAAUAUCUAUAUAUUAAUAUAUUGUAAAGUUUAAUAGGCUUAAAACCAGCCAUUUUUAAAUUAAGUUAAAUUUUAACUUCAUAUGAAUUAUAUUAUGUUAACUUUAGAUAUCUAUUAAGAGAUAAUUUUUAAUUAUUUAAAUUAAUUAUAAUGAUUUAAUUAGUAAAAUUUUUAAUUUGGAUGUUAUGAAUUCGGCAAAUAUAAUUUUCACCUGUUUAUCAAAAACAUGUCUUUUAGUUUAAGAAUUAAAAGUCUAGUCUGCCCAAUGAUUAUUGAAUGGCCGCGGUAAACUGACCGUGCAAAGGUAGCAUAAUAAUUAGUCUUUUAAUUGAAGGCUUGCAUAAAUGAUUGGAUGAAAAAUUUUCUUUAUUAUUUUUAAUGUUUUAACUUAAUUUAUAAGUAAAAAAGCUUAUAUAAUAAUGUGGGACGAGAAGACCCUAUAGAGUUUAAAAGUUAAAUUAAUAGAUUAAUUUUAGUUAUAUUUAUUAAAUAAAUUAUAAUGACUUUUUUAUUGGGGUGAUAUUGAAAUAUUUAUAACUUUCAAUUAAUUAAUCAUUAAUUAAUGCUAAAUUGUUCUCUAUUUUGAAUUACAAGACUAAAUUACCUUAGGGAUAACAGCGUAAUUAAAUUAAAGAGUUCAUAUCGAUAAUUUAGUUUGCGACCUCGAUGUUGGAUUAAGAAAAAUUUUUGGGGUAGAUUUUAAAAUAGUUAGGUCUGUUCGACCUUUAAAUUCUUACAUGAUCUGAGUUCAGACCGGCGUGAGCCAGGUUGGCUUCUAUCUACAUUUAUGUUUUUGAUAUUAGUACGAAAGGACCAUAUUAAUUAAUAAUAUUAU